AUUCCAGACUCCUACGGGAGGCAGCAGUGAGGAAUAUUGGUCAAUGGGCUUACGCCUGAACCAGCUAAGCCGCGUGAAGGAAGAAGGCGCCAGGCGUCGUAAACUUCUUUUGUCGGGGAACAAAGGGCGCCACGCGUGGCGUUGUGAGUGUACCCGAAGAAAAAGCAUCGGCUAACUCCGUGCCAGCAGCCGCGGUAAUACGGAGGAUGCGAGCGUUAUCCGGAUUUAUUGGGUUUAAAGGGUGCGUAGGCGGUCCGGAAAGUCAGCGGUAAAAUUGCGGUGCUCAACGCCGUAGAGCCGUUGAAACUGGGGUUCUUGAGUGAGCGAGAAGUAUGCGGAAUGCGUGGUGUAGCGGUGAAAUGCAUAGAUAUCACGCAGAACCCCGAUUGCGAAGGCAGCAUACCGGCGCUCAACUGACGCUGAGGCACGAAAGUGCGGGUAUCGAACAGGAUUAGAUACCCCAGUA
rnacentral:rRNA from 1 species